rnacentral:RNase_P_RNA from 2 species
CUCCCGCGGGGAGCGGCAAGCCACCCUUACCGACAGAGAGUAGCUCUGUCGGUAAGGGUGGAAAGGCGAGGUAAGAGCUCACCCAUCGGCUGGAGACUGUCCGAUGCUGUAAACUCUAUCCGGAGCAACACCGGUAUGGGAGCAGGGGGUCCGACCCCCAAGGCUGGCCCGGCCGCUCCCGGGGUGGCUGGAGCGUACCGGCGACGGUACGUCGAGAUAGAUGACUGUUUGAUACAGAACCCGGCUUA